rnacentral:rRNA from 1 species
UGCCUAUAGAACCAAUAUUAUAGGUAUAUCCUGCCCAGUGAUAAAAUCUAUUAAACGGCCGCGGUACACUGACCGUGCUAAGGUAGCGCAAUUACUUGCCCCCUAAUUAGGGGCCCGUACGAAUGGACCUACGAAAGCUAAGCUGUCUCACAAUCACACUAUAGGAAAACUAAUUUUUAGGUGAAAAAGCCUAAAUAAAAUAAAAAGACAAGAAGACCCUGUAGAGCUUCAUCCUUAAAUUGAGUAAAAUAACACAUUUUUGAACUCAUAACUCAAUGAAAGAAUUUUACUGGGGCAGUAAGAAACCAACCAAAACGUUUCUACCCUACCACGACCCUCCGUCCCCCACAAGACCCUUUUAAAAACAUAUUAAAAUGUGUUUAACCAAAAGACCUUAAGAAAAGCUACCUCAGGGAUAACAGACUAAUCCUUCUUAAAAGUCCACAUUAACAGAAGGGGUUGGCACCUCGAUGUUGGCUCGGGAUCCCCCCAACGUGCAGUAGCGUUGCUGGUAAGUAUGUUCUCCUUUUAAAAUCCC